rnacentral:SRP_RNA from 1 species
GCCGGACGCGGUGGCACGUGCCUGUAGUCGCAGCUACUCGGGAGGCUGAGGUGGGAGGAUCGCUUGAGCCCAGGAGUUCUGGGCUGUAGUGUGCUAUGCCAAUCGGGUGUCCGCACUAAGUUCGGCAUCAAUAUGGUGACCUUCCGGGAGCAGGGGACCACCAGGUUGCCUAAGGAGGGGUAAACCAGCCCAGGUCAGAAACGGAGCAGGUCAAAACUCCUGUGCUGAUCAGUAGUGGGAUCACGCCUGUGAAUAGCCACUGCACUCCAGCGUGGGGGCAAUGUAGCAAGACUCCGUCUCU